rnacentral:rRNA from 2 species
UGGCAGACGGGUGAGUAACGCGUGGGAAUCUACCCUUUGGUACGGGAUAGCUCCGGGAAACUGGAAUUAAUACCGUAUGUGGCUUGAGAGCGAAAGAUUUAUCGCCAAAGGAUGAGCCCGCGUUGGAUUAGCUAGUUGGUGGGGCAAAGGCCUACCAAGGCGACGAUCCAUAGCUGGUCUGAGAGGAUGACCAGCCACAUUGGGACUGAGACACGGCCCAAACUCCUACGGGAGGCAGCAGUGGGGAAUAUUGGACAAUAGGCGCAAGCCUGAUCCAGCCAUGCCGCGUGAGUGAUGAAGGUCUUAGGAUUGUAAAGCUCUUUCACCGGGGACGAUAAUGACGGUACCCGGAGAAGAAGCCCCGGCUAACUUCGUGCCAGCAGCCGCGGUAAUACGAAGGGGGCUAGCGUUGUUCGGAAUUACUGGGCGUAAAGCGCACGUAGGCGGACAUUUAAGUCAGGGGUGAAAUCCCGGGGCUCAACCCCGGAACUGCCUUUGAUAC